rnacentral:rRNA from 1 species
ACGUAGGGCGCAAGCGUUGUCCGGAUUUAUUGGGCGUAAAGAGCUCGUAGGCGGUUUGUCGCGUCUGCUGUGAAAGCCCGGGGCUUAACCCCGUGGUGUGCAGUGGGUACGGGCAGACUAGAGUGCAGUAGGGGAGACUGGAAUUCCUGGGAUGGCGGUGAAGUGGGCUGUUAUCAGGGGGGAGGACGAAAAGGAAGGGAGGUCUCUGGGAUUUUAUUCACGUGGAGGUGCGAGAUCUUUGCUUGCAAUAAG